UACGUAGGGUGCAAGCGUGUCCGGAAUUAUUGGGCGUAAAGAGCUCGUAGGCGGCUUGUCGCGUCGACUGUGAAAUCCCGCGGCUCAACCGCGGGUCUGCAGUCGAUACGGGCAGGCUAGAGUUCGGUAGGGGAGACUGGAAUUCCUGGUGUAGCGGUGAAAUGCGCAGAUAUCAGGAGGAACACCGAUGGCGAAGGCAGGUCUCUGGGCCGAUACUGACGCUGAGGAGCGAAAGCGUGGGGAGC
rnacentral:rRNA from 1 species